rnacentral:rRNA from 1 species
AACGAGACCAUACCCGGUUAAAUAGCCCGUAUUGGUUUGGCAGUACGUGGGCUUCUUAGAGGGACUAUCGGCUCAAGCCGAUGGAAGUUUGAGGCAAUAACAGGUCUGUGAUGCCCUUAGAUGUUCUGGGCCGCACGCGCGCUACACUGACGGAGCCAGCGAGUACUCCCUUGGCAGAAAGAACGGGGAAAGCGUGUGAAACUCU